rnacentral:rRNA from 1 species
UACGUAUGGUGCAAGCGUUAUCCGGAAUUACUGGGUGUAAAGGGAGCGUAGACGGUAAUGUAAGUCUGGAGUGAAAGGCGGGGGCCCAACCCCCGGACUGCUCUGGAAACUAUGUUACUAGAGUGCAGGAGAGGUAAGCGGAAUUCCUAGUGUAGCGGUGAAAUGCGUAGAUAUUAGGAGGAACACCAGUGGCGAAGGCGGCUUACUGGACUGUAACUGACGUUGAGGCUCGAAAGCGUGGGGAGCAAACAGG